rnacentral:rRNA from 1 species
UGGGGAAUCUUGGACAAUGGGGGCAACCCUGAUCCAGCCAUGCCGCGUGAGUGAUGAAGGCCUUAGGGUCGUAAAGCUCUUUCGCCUGUGAAGAUAAUGACGGUAGCAGGUAAAGAAACCCCGGCUAACUCCGUGCCAGCAGCCGCGGUAAUACGGAGGGGGUUAGCGUUGUUCGGAAUUACUGGGCGUAAAGCGCACGUAGGCGGAUCGGAAAGUUGGGGGUGAAAUCCCGGGGGCUCAACCCCGGAACUGCCUCCAAAACUAUCGGUCUAGAGUUCGAGAGAGGUGAGUGGAAUUCCAAAGUGUAGAGGUGAAAUUCGUAGAUAUUUGGAGGAAACACCAGUGGCGAAGGCGGCUCACUGGCUCGAUACUGACGCUGAGGGUGCGAAAAGUGUGGGGAGCAAAACAGGGAUUUAGAUACCCUGGUAGUCCACACCGUAAAACGAUGAAAUGCCAGUCGUCGGGUAGCAUGCUAUUCGGUGACACACCUAACGGAUUAAAGCAUUCCGCCUGGGGAGUACGGUCGCAAGAUUAAAAACUCAAAAUGAAAUUGAC